GACGAACGCUGGCGGCGUGCUUAACACAUGCAAGUCGAACGGAAAGGCCCUGCUUUUGUGGGGUGCUCGAGUGGCGCACGGGUGAGUAACACGUGUGUACCCUGUCCUUGACUUUGGGAUAACUUCAGGAAACUGGGGCUAUUAUCGGAUAGGAGCUCCUGCUGCAUGGUGGGGGUUGGAUUGUUUCGGCGGUUGGGGAUGGACUCGCGGCUUAUCAGCUUGUUGGUGGGGUAGUGGCUUACCAAGGCUUUGACGGGUAGCCGGCCUGAGAGGGUGACCGGGCACAGUGGGACUGAGAUACGGCCCAGACUCGUACGGGAGACAGGAGUAGGGAAUAGUGCACAAUGGGCGGAAGCCGGAUGCAGCAACGCCGCGUGCGGGAUGACGGCCUUCGGGUUGAAAACCGCUUUCGCCUGUGACGAAGCGUGAUUGACGGUAAUAGAUAAAGAAGCACCGGCUAACUACGUG
rnacentral:rRNA from 1 species